rnacentral:rRNA from 1 species
CAGAGUUUUGGAUCUGGCUCAGAUUGAACGCUGGCGGCAGGCCUAACACAUGCAAGUCGAGCGGUAGGGAGGUGCUUGCACCUCUUGAGAGCGGCGGACGGGUGAGUAAUGCCUAGGAAUCUGCCUGGUAGUGGGGGAUAACGUUCGGAAACGAACGCUAAUACCGCAUACGUCCUACGGGAGAAAGCAGGGGACCUUCGGGCCUUGCGCUAUCAGAUGAGCCUAGGUCGGAUUAGCUAGUUGGUGAGGUAAUGGCUCACCAAGGCGACGAUCCGUAACUGGUCUGAGAGGAUGAUCAGUCACACUGGAACUGAGACACGGUCCAGACUCCUACGGGAGGCAGCAGUGGGGAAUAUUGGACAAUGGGCGAAAGCCUGAUCCAGCCAUGCCGCGUGUGUGAAGAAGGUCUUCGGAUUGUAAAGCACUUUAAGUUGGGAGGAAGGGUUGUAGAUUAAUACUCUGCAAUUUUGACGUUACCGACAGAAUAAGCACCGGCUACU